UACAGAGGUGCCGAGCGUUAGGCGGAAUCACUGGGCUUAAAGCGUGUGUAGGCGGACGUCUAAGUACCUUGUGAAAUCCCACGGCUCACCCGUGGCACUGCUGGGUAUACUGGGCGUCUUGAGCCACCUAGGGGCCAGCGGAACAAAUGGUGGAGCGGUGAAAUGCGUAGAUAUCAUUUGGAACGCCAACGGUGAAAACAGCUGGCUGGGGGUGUGCUGACGCUGAGACACGAAAGCCAGGGGAGCGAACGGG
rnacentral:rRNA from 1 species